UACGUAGGGUGCAAGCGUUAAUCGGAAUUACUGGGCGUAAAGCGUGCGCAGGCGGCUUUGCAAGACAGUUGUGAAAUCCCCGGGCUCAACCUGGGAACUGCAUCUGUGACUGCAUCGCUGGAGUACGGUAGAGGGGGAUGGAAUUCCGCGUGUAGCAGUGAAAUGCGUAGAUAUGCGGAGGAACACCGAUGGCGAAGGCAAUCCCCUGGACCUGUACUGACGCUCAUGCACGAAAGCGUGGGGAGCAAACAGG
rnacentral:rRNA from 1 species